UGAAGGAAGAUAGUCACUGAACUGUGUAUGCCGCUCGUCCCAACUUGAUCAACCCACAAUAAUCGUCAGUUUAAUCCUGGUGAUAUUCAGAGCAAAAUAUCGUGGUUUGGAGUUUGAAAUCUGCCGCUCGUGAGUCGUGUGAACAGCUGCACAACAGGGGAGAUCAUUUGUGUUUUCCACGUGUUUUGAAGGCACCCAACACGCCGGAAAAUGUCGAGUAAGUGUGUCCUCUCAACACAUUGGAUUGUAAUGAUUAGUCGGUCUGCAUUUUUAAGUUUCAUGGAAUGUUGUGGCUUGGAAAUAAUGUAUUUUUAUUUCUCUUUCCCUAUCAAGCAAGCCACUGCUGUUGUUUAUUACUGUGUAAUUUUAUUUAAUCUGGUGUAUAAUUUUCUUUGAUCU